CGGAGCGUUCCGUAGGCCGAUGAAGGUGAACCGUAAGGUUUGCUGGAGGUAUCGGAAGUGCGAAUGCUGACAUGAGUAACGAGACGAGUGUGAGAAACACUCGCGCCGAAAGUCCAAGGGUUCCUGCUUAAAGCUAAUCUGAGCAGGGUGAGCCGGCCCCUAAGGCGAGGCCGAAAGGCGUAGUCGAUGGGAAUCAGGUGAAUAUUCCUGAGCCAGGUGGAAGUGACGGAUACCGGUUGUUGUCAUCUCUUAUCGGAUUGAGAUGGCUUCGAAGGUGUCCCAGGAAAUAGCUCCACCAUGAGACCGUACCCUAAACCGACACAGGUGGACUGGUAGAGAAUACCAAGGCGCUUGAGAGAACGAUGUUGAAGGAACUCGGCAAAAU
rnacentral:rRNA from 1 species